rnacentral:rRNA from 1 species
AUUGAACGCUGGCGGCAGGCCUAACACAUGCAAGUCGAACGAGUGGCGGACGGGUGAGUAAUGUCUGGGAAACUGCCUGAGGGAGGGGGAUAACAACUGGAAGCGGUAGCUAAUACCGCAUACCAUCAGCUGUGCCCAGAUGGGAUUAGGUAGUUGGGGGGGUAACUGCGCACCAAGGCGACGAUCCGUAGCUGGUGUGAGAGGAGGACCAGCCACACUGGGACUGAGACACGGUCCAGACUCCUACGGGAGGCAGCAGUGGGGAAUAUUGCACAAUGGGCGAAACCCUGAUGCAGCCAUCCCGCGUGUAUGAAGAAGGCCUUCGGGUUGUAAAGUACUUUUGGCAGGAAGGCGGUACCCGCAGAAGAAGCACCGGCUAACUCCGUGCCAGCAGCCGCGGUAAUUC